rnacentral:rRNA from 1 species
AUGGGUGGGUAACGCGGGGGAAUCUACCCCUUUAUACGGAACAACUCCGGGAAACUGGAGCUAAUACCGUAUACGUCCUUUUGGAGAAAGAUUUAUCGGAGAUGGAUGAGCCCGCGUUGGAUUAGCUAGUUGGUGGGGUAAUGGCCUACCAAGGCGACGAUCCAUAGCUGGUCUGAGAGGAUGAUCAGCCACACUGGGACUGAGACACGGCCCAGACUCCUACGGGAGGCAGCAGUGGGGAAUAUUGGACAAUGGGCGCAAGCCUGAUCCAGCCAUGCCGCGUGAGUGAUGAAGGCCCUAGGGUUGUAAAGCUCUUUCAACGGUGAAGAUAAUGACGGUAACCGUAGAAGAAGCCCCGGCUAACUUCGUGCCAGCAGCCGCGGUAAUACGAAGGGGGCUAGCGUUGUUCGGAAUUACUGGGCGUAAAGCGCACGUAGGCGGAUACUUAAGUCAGGGGUGAAAUCCCGGGGCUCAACCCCGGAACUGCCUUUGAUACUGGGUAUCUCGAGUCCGGAAGAGGUGAGUGGAAUUCCGAGUGUAGAGGUGAAAUUCGUAGA